GCCGGGUGUGGUGGCGGGCGCCUGUAGUCCCAGCUACUCGGGAGGCUGAGGCAGGAGGAUGGCGUGAAUCCAGGAGGUGGAGCUUGCAGUGAGCCAAGAUUGUGCCACUGCACUCCAGCCUGGGUGACAGCGCGAGACUCUGUCUCAA
ensembl:misc_RNA Metazoa_SRP Metazoan signal recognition particle RNA